rnacentral:rRNA from 1 species
UACGUAGGGUGCAAGCGUUAAUCGGAAUUACUGGGCGUAAAGCGUGCGCAGGCGGUGAUGUAAGACAGGUGUGAAAUCCCCGGGCUUAACCUGGGGAACUGCAUUUGUGACUGCAUCGCUGGAGUGCGGCAGAGGGGGGAUGGAAUUCCGCGUGUAGCAGUGAAAUGCGUAGAUAUGCGGAGGAACACCGAUGGCGAAGGCAAUCCCCCUGGGCCUGCACUGACUCA